rnacentral:rRNA from 1 species
UACGGGGGGGGCAAGCGUUGUUCGGAAUUACUGGGCGUAAAGGGCUCGUAGGUGGCCAACUAAGUCAGACGUGAAAUCCCUCAGCUUAACUGGGGAACUGCGUGUGAUACUGGAUGGCUUGGAUUUGGGAGAGGGAUGCGGAAUUCCAGGUGUAGCGGUGAAAUGCGUAGAUAUCUGGAGGAACACCGGUGGCGAAGGCGGCAUCCUGGCCAAUAUUGACGCUGAGGAGCGAAAGCCAGGGGAGCAA